GAGACACCCUUAUGGAGCAGGACUUGCUUCAGUGGGGCUUGGUGCUCACUGAGUGUGUCUGCCUCUUGAGUGUGUCACU
rfam:Myotis davidii contig141052, whole genome shotgun sequence.